GACGUAGGGGGCGAGCGUUGUCCGGAUUUAUUGGGCGUAAAGAGCGCGUAGGCGGCCCGGAAAGUCGGAUGUGAAAACCCGGGGCUCAACCCCGGGCCUGCAUCCGAUACUCCCGGGCUGGAGGCAGGUAGGGGAGAUCGGAAUUCCUGGUGUAGCGGUGAAAUGCGCAGAUAUCAGGAGGAACACCGGUGGCGAAGGCGGAUCUCUGGGCCUGUCCUGACGCUGAGGCGCGAAAGCUAGGGGGAGCGAACAGG
rnacentral:rRNA from 1 species